UUUAAGGUUUCUGCUUUGUUUUUAAGGUUCUGGAAUGCUCCCACGAGAUCUUGCAGGGUCAUGCAAGUUCCUGCAAGAGCAUCCCAGAGUCUGGUAAGCAAGGCAGAGAGCUUAA